AGGAUUAUUUUCUUUUCCUACUUCCUCUUCAACCCUGAAUUCAGCUUCUAAUGGCAGAGGGGGCCCUGAAACCUCCUAAAAUAGCCUCCUGCUGGAGAAAAGUUAUGCAAUGCACACCACAGUCCGCAUAUUGAUUCUAUUUUUGGUUCUUAUCAAGAUUUAUUUUUCAUCCUUCAGGUUACAGCUUCCUCAUCCAUACAACGGGAAUACUACCUGCCUUUUUGUGCAGAUCGGAGAUGCCGUUCGAGCGUGGUACACGCCUGGCUCCUACCUGGCAUGUACCACAAGAGAUGCUGAAAGAAAAAUUUCAGACUGAAGGAAAUCAUUCUACAUGGAAGCCUCUAUCUGUGGGAAGAAAUGAAGAGCACCAAAAUGUGUAAACCUGAGGUUAAUUAUAAAUCACUUU